UACGGAGGGUGCAAGCGUUGUUCGGAAUUAUUGGGCGUAAAGCGCGUGUAGGCGGCUUUGCAAGUCAGGUGUGAAAGCCCUCGGCUUAACCGAGGAAGUGCGCCUGAAACUGCUUGGCUUGAGUACCGGAGAGGGCGGUGGAAUUCCCGGUGUAGAGGUGAAAUUCGUAGAUAUCGGGAGGAACACCAGCGGCGAAGGCGACCGCCUGGACGGCUACUGACGCUGAGACGCGAAAGCGUGGGGAGCAAACAGG
rnacentral:rRNA from 1 species